UAGAGUUUGAUCCUGGCUCAGAUUGAACGCUGGCGGCAUGCCUUACACAUGCAAGCCGGACGGCAGCGCGGGAGCAAUCCUGGCGGCGAGUGGCGAACGGGUGAGUAAUACAUCGGAACAUGUCCAGUAGUGGGGGAUAGCCCGGCGAAAGCCGGAUUAAUACCGCAUACGAUCUAUGGAUGAAAGCGGGGGAUCGCAAGACCUCGCGCUAUUGGGGUGGCCGAUGGCGGAUUAGCUAGUUGGUGGGGUAAAGGCCUACCAAGGCGACGAUCCGUAGCUGGUCUGAGAGGACGACCAGCCACACUGGGAUGAGACACGGCCCAGACUCCUACGGGAGGCAGCAGUGGGGAAUUUUGGACAAUGGGGGCAACCUGUCCAGCAAUGCCGCGUGUGUGAAGAAGGCCUUCGGGUUGUAAAGCACUUUUGUCCGGGAAGAAAUCCCCUGCCUAAUACGGCGGGGGGAUGACGGUACCGGAGAAAAGCCCGGCUAAUACGUGCCACAGCCGCGA
rnacentral:rRNA from 1 species